CCCGCCCCCGGCAUCAGGCCCCGCCCCCGCGCGCCGCCAUCUUGGCUGCCGCCUCAGCGGGAUGUUACUGACCCCCACUCCCCCCCCAGCCGCCGGCGUGUUUCCCCGUGGGCCUGCGGGGAGGGACGACAGUCCCUCGCGACAGAAACCCGGGAGCCCGGCUGGGGGGGAGUCGGAGGCGUCGCCGUCACUCAAAGCAAGCACGAGGCUGGGGAAACCAGGAUCCCUGCUUACAAAACAGGAAAAAUAAAUCGGAUGUUAACGUGAAGUCGUUCAAAACGCGAGUCGAUUCAUUCGUCUCUCUGGACGAUAGCUUUGACCCAGAGGAAGUCGGAGCUAAAAAGGCCGGGUGUUAUUUUACGUGCCCGUUUUCAUGCGCGAUGUCCUUUUCAGACCCGAAACACCCCAGAGAGAAUGGACCAAACUGAACGCGCUCUUCGCGUAGACCCACGUGUGCAAUGCUGGGGACAGACGUGAGGUCGGCCUGAACGUGCAGGCUGCUUUCCUCAGCUGGGUCUGCGAGCGCAAGCCAUGCUGGACCCGUUUUUGUGCGAGCGGGCAGCGCACCGCUGUUUGUCGAGUGCUGGAGAGUCGUCCCUGCGCUGGAGCUGUACAGCAACACAACGCCUGAUCCUGGUAUUUCCAAGAGAGGUCAAUUCGUUUGCCGCACCACACACCCUUAUCCCACACACGAGCAGAAACCAAGGGAUCGAUACUCAAGGCAACGUAUUCUGCUUUCGGCUGCGAUUCUGUGGUGCGGCAAGCGCUAAAUCCCGUGGCACCUUCCAAUACACCAGCAUUUUAAAUAGAGGUGUUUAUUGCAUUCAGUAUGA